CCGGCGCACGGGUGAGUAACACGUAUGGAACCUGCCCUAUGCAGGGGGAUAAGCGGAAGAAAUUCCGACUAAUACAGCAUAACACUCCUGAGGGACAUCCCUUGGGAGUCAAAGGAGGCAACUCCGGUGACGGAUGGGCAUGCGGCGCAUUAGGUAGUUGGUAGGGUAACGGCCUACCAAGCCGACGAUGCGUAGGGGUUCUGAGAGGAAGGUCCCCCACAUUGGAACUGAGACACGGUCCAAACUCCUACGGAAGGCAGCAG
rnacentral:rRNA from 1 species